rnacentral:rRNA from 1 species
CUGACUGCUAUUUGGGUGAGGAUAAGCCAUGCGAGUCGUAUGGGAUACCUAAAAUUUCCAUGGCAAACUGCUCAGUAACACAUGAUCAACUUACCCUAUAGAGAAAAAUACCCUCGGGAAACUGAGGAUAAUGUUUCAUAGUUGAAAAGGCUUGGAAAAGUUUUUCAACGAAAUGGGUAAGAAAAAUGGUUCUUAUCUGCUAUAGGAUAGGAUCGUGGUCGAUUAUGGUUGUUGGUGAGGUAACGGCUCACCAAGCCGAUAAUCGAUAGGGGCCGUGAGAGCGGGAGCCCCGAGAUGGGUACUGAGACAACGACCCAGGCCUUACGAGGCGCAGCAGGCGCGAAACCUCCGCAAUACACGAAAGUGUGACGGGGUUACCCAAAGUGUUCAAUAUUGAACUGUGGCAGGUGAGUAAUGUCCCCUGCUAGAAAGGAGAGGGCAAGGCUGGUGCCAGCCGCCGCGGUAAAACCAGCUCUUCAAGUGGUCGGGAUAAUUAUUGGGCUUAAAGUGUCCGUAGCCGGUUUAGUAAGUUCCUGGUAAAAUCGGGUAGCUUAACUAUCCGUAUGCUAGGAAUACUGCUAUACUAGAGGGCGGGAGAGGUCUGAGGUACUACAGGGGUAGGGGUGAAAUCUUAUAAUCCUUGUAGGACCACCAGUGGCGAAGGCGUCAGACUGGAACGCGCCUGACGGUGAGGGACGAAAGCCAGGGGAGCGAACCGGAUUAGAUACCCGGGUAGUCCUGGCCGUAAACGAUGCAUACUAGGUGAUGGUACGGCCAUGAGCCGUGUCAGUGCCGUAGGGAAACCGUUAAGUGUGCCGCCUGGGAAGUACGGUCGCAAGGCUAAAACUUAA